UGAAUACGAGAUGCUACGGCGUCGAAGCAGUGUAUGUCAGACUUCCAGGAAAAGCUCGCAAUGUCAUAAAUAAAGAAUGCCUGUACCAUAACCGACACAGGUGGGUAGGUAGAGUAUACUAAGGGGCGCGAGAUAACUCUCUCUAAGGGAACUCGGCAAAAUAACUCCGUAACUUCGGGAGAAGGAGUGCCUUCUUUAAGAAGGUUGCAAUAACAAGAUCCAAGCAACUGGUUAUCAAAAACACAGGUCUCCGCUAAGUCGUAAGACGAUGUAUGGGGGCUGACGCCUGCCCAGUGCCAGAAGGUUAAAGAAGUUGGUUAGCUUUUGCGAAGCUGAUGACUGAAGCCCUGGUGAACGGCGGCCGUAACUAUAACGGUCCUAAGGUAGCGAAAUUCCUUGUCGGGUAAGUUCCGACCCGCACGAAAGGCGUAAUGAUUUGGAUACUGUCUCGGAGAGGGACUCGGUGAAAUAGACUUGUCUGUGAAGAUGCGGACUACCUGCACCAGGACAGAAAGACCCUAUGAAGCUUUACUGUAACUUGAAAUUGAAAUUGGACUUUAUUUGCGCAGUAUAGGUGGAAGGCGUUGAAAGUAAUCUUGCGGGAUUAGUGGAGCCAUCAGUGAGAUACCACUCCUAUAAUGUUAGAUUUCUAACUUUGGAUCAUGAUCUGGUCAAAGAACAGUUUCAGGCGGGCAGUUUGACUGGGGCGGUCGCCUCCCAAAUGGUAACGGAGGCGUACAAAGGUUUCCUCUGAACGGGUAGAAAUCGUAUCUAGAGUGUAAAGGCAUAAGGAAGCUUGACUGUGAGACCUACAAGUCGAGCAGGGACGAAAGUCGGUCUUAGUGAUCUGACGGUGCUGAGUGGAAAGGCCGUCACUCAACGGAUAAAAGUUACUCUAGGAUAACAGGCUGAUCUCCCCCAAGAGUUCACAUCGACGGGGAGGUUUGGCACCUCGAUGUCGGCUCAUCGCAUCCUGGGGCGGUAGUACGUCCCAAGGGUUGGGCUGUUCGCCCAUGAAAGCGGUACGCGAGCUGGGUUCAGAACGUCGUGAGACAGUUCGGUCCAUAUCCGGUGUAGGCGUUAGAAUAUUGAGAGGAGCCUUCUUUAGUACGAGAGGACCGAGAAGGACAUACCUCUGGUGUACCAGUUAUCGUGCCAACGGUAAACGCUGGGUAGCUAUGUAUGGAGAGGAUAACCGCUGAAAGCAUCUAAGUGGGAAGCCCACCUCAAGAUGAGUAUUCUC
rnacentral:rRNA from 1 species